UGGGGAAUUUUGGACAAUGGGCGAAAGCCUGAUCCAGCAAUGCCGCGUGUGUGAAGAAGGCCUUCGGGUUGUAAAGCACUUUUGUCCGGAAAGAAAUCCUUGGCUCUAAUACAGUCGGGGGAUGACGGUACCGGAAGAAUAAGCACCGGCUAACUACGUGCCAGCAGCCGCGGUAAUACGUAGGGUGCAAGCGUUAAUCGGAAUUACUGGGCGUAAAGCGUGCGCAGGCGGUUUGCUAAGACCGAUGUGAAAUCCCCGGGCUCAACCUGGGAACUGCAUUGGUGACUGGCAGGCUAGAGUAUGGCAGAGGGGGGUAGAAUUCCACGUGUAGCAGUGAAAUGCGUAGAGAUGUGGAGGAAUACCGAUGGCGAAGGCAGCCCCCUGGGCCAAUACUGACGCUCAUGCACGAAAGCGUGGGGAGCAAACAGGAUUAGAUACCCUGGUAGUCCACGCCCUAAACGAUGUCAACUAGUUGUUGGGAUUCAUUCUUAGUAACGUAGCUAACGCGUGAAGUUGACCGCCUGGGGAGUACGGUCGCAAGAUUCAAAACUCAAAUGGAAUUGACGGGGUCAUAGCUGUUUUCU
rnacentral:rRNA from 1 species